rnacentral:rRNA from 1 species
UAACACUAACUGGAGGACCGAACCGACUAAUGUUGAAAAAUUAGCGGAUGACUUGUGGCUGGGGGUGAAAGGCCAAUCAAACCGGGAGAUAGCUGGUUCUCCCCGAAAGCUAUUUAGGUAGCGCCUCGUGAAUUCAUCUCCGGGGGUAGAGCACUGUUUCGGCAAGGGGGUCAUCCCGACUUACCAACCCGAUGCAAACUGCGAAUACCGGAGAAUGUUAUCACGGGAGACACACGGCGGGUGCUAACGUCCGUCGUGAAGAGGGAAACAACCCAGACCGCCAGCUAAGGUCCCAAAGUCAUGGUUAAGUGGGAAACGAUGUGGGAAGGCCCAGACAGCCAGGAUGUUGGCUUAGAAGCAGCCAUCAUUUAAAGAAAGCGUAAUAGCUCACUGGUCGAGUCGGCCUGCGCGGAAGAUGUAACGGGGCUAAACCAUGCACCGAAGCUGCGGCAGCGACGCUUAUGCGUUGUUGGGUAGGGG